CCGUGUUGUGGCGUGGGAAGGAUGGAUGGCGGCGUUCUUUGCGACGGUUCGGGUCCCUGGUCCUGAGGCCGCUGUUCAAGACACUGUUAAGAGGAAGGCGAAUGAGGAGCUGUGAAGGACAGUACAUGGGUCCAAAAUAUGUGUGAGUUUAUACCAUAUGUUCCAUGGAGCCACUGACUGAGGCCUGGUGGAGACUAGAUGUCUGUCCAGCUGGAGGUGGCUGGUGGAGAGUAGGGUUCUGCCAGGCUGAAGGUGGAUGGUGCUGGUGGAGACUCGGGUUCUGCAGGGCUGAAGGUGGUUGGUGCUGGUGGAGGCUAGGGAACGGUUGUGAGGGGGCCGGGGGCCAGUGGCUGGCCUGCUCCAUUUUCCUCCUCAACCGCCAUUGGAAGAGGAUGUCUUCUUCCGGGCGUUGGCAACUAAUGGAGGAAGAUGGCGUGUAGCCGUUCUGCGAGGGGCCCACAGGGGCCGAAGAUGAGCUUGUGUUACCUGUAGGUUCAUGAACAAAACUGCAUUUAGUAAUACAGUAUAAAAUGUAUAAUACACCAUAACAUAAUGCAGUGUGACAUUGUGUGUGUGGGGGGAUGGCUGGUUUAACCUGUGCACAUUGAUU
ensembl:lncRNA